rnacentral:rRNA from 1 species
AACACGUGGGCAACCUGCCCGACAGGGGGGGAUAGCACUUGGAAACAGGUGCUAAUACCGCAUAAUUUGUUUUCUCGCAUGAGAGAAUAAUGAAAGACGCUUCGGUGUCACUGUUGGAUGGGCCCGCGCUGCAUUAGUUAGUUGGUGGGGUAAUGGCCUACCAAGACCGUGAUGCAUAGCCGACCUGAGAGGGUGAUCGGCCACACUGGGACUGAGACACGGCCCAGACUCCUACAGGAGGCAGCAGUAGGGAAUCUUCGGCAAUGGACGAAAGUCUGACCGAGCAACGCCGCGUGAGUGAAGAAGGUUUUCGGAUCGUAAAACUCUGUUGUUAGAGAAGAACAAGUGGGAGAGUAACUGUUCCCACCUUGACGGUAUCUAACCAGAAAGCCACGGCUAACUACGUGCCAGCAGCCGCGGUAAUACGUAGGUGGCAAGCGUUGUCCGGAUUUAUUGGGCGUAAAGCGAGCGCAGGCGGUUUUUUAAGUCUGAUGUGAAAGCCCUCGGCUCAACCGAGGAAGGUCAUUGGAAACUGGAGAGCUUGAGUGCAGAAGAGGAGAGUGGAAUUCCAUGUGUAGCGGUGAAAUGCGUAGAUAUAUGGAGGAACACCAGUG